UGCUAACCCGCAGCUAAUUAUACCUGGUACAAGGAGGAUGAAGACUCACCAAAAGCAUGACAGAUCUUCAUCAUUACUGACUUAAGACCUGAACACAGUGGGAAUUAUUACUGUGAAGCCCAGAAUGCAAGAGGACGUCAUAACGCCACCUUACAUCUGAUUGUUGUAGCAGGUUCCUGGUUUGCGGGUUCAUGGAGGUUUCCAGUCACUCUGUCAAUCGCUGCUAUUGUUCUGGUCUUCAUACUCCUCUUUGUCUUGCUGUGGAUGAGAAGAGAGAGGUCCUCACAACAACAACCUGAGGCUGCUGAGGGACCAAACAACGGAGCACAGGUACAAAGAAACACAGGCUGUUUAAAACUCAGCUCACAGGUGCUUCAGGUUCUUCUUUGGCUACUUUAUUCAUCAACAUAAUCUACAACUGCUAGGCCAUUUAUUAAAGGUUUUCCCUCCAUAACCCCCUAAUUACUGCUUAUUGAUAGUAUGUAAGGGAGCUGUUGUUCAUUCAUUACGAUCUUAACAUGCUUCUUUGUUAUAGACCAUAUUUAACUCUUAGUUAAUAAAGUGUAUCUCGUUCAGUAGAGGGAUGGUAACAGAAAGAGGGAAUGUUAUUCUGGAAAGACUGUAACCUGUGAACUUAUCCUUGACAUUCCCAUAAUUAAUCAAAUGGUGUCUUUCUGACCAUUCUCCUGUCACAUUAGUACAGGACUUUAUUUAAGUGAUACCAUUUAGUAGGUAAUGGGGCUCAAAGUGAAAUCUUAUCGACCUCUGCUGGUGAGCAGUAGGUAUUGCAACAACAAACACAGACUCACAUCAGCCUUCAGGGUCACACAGUUCUUUGACUUUGUAUAUUUGGCUGAAAACUGUCCAGUUUUUACCCUGCAGAUAUUUUACUGAAUGAUCAUUUCAUGCUUCAGUGCAGUAAAAGUCUUAUUUACUACUUUAAGUGACACUUGAGUUCUCUUUGUUAAGAGUUACCAAUACAUGGAGAGUAAAAAAGUACUCUUGUCCAGCAGAUGGAUGAACUUCAGUACGCUAGUGUACAAUUCACUAGGAACCAGUCCGACGCUCUCCACUCCAACCCCAGCCGAGCUCAGCCCCACGAGGAGGAGGCUGUUGUAUACGCCACUCCCAACUUCAUCAGUGCUCCAAGAACAAGACGUCAGCCGGCUAUGGAGGAUUUAUCUUCACUGUACAGUACAGUUAAUAAAAGCCACAGAGUGUGAGGACAACAUGGAUCUGGACUUUUCUUCACUGAUGACCCCAUUGAAAUAUGAAUCAUGGAAGGCUGAUAUUGAAACAAAUAUUACAGGAAAUGCAAAAUGUAUUUUAAAUUACAGUUCAGCAAUCUAAGCAUAUUAAAUAUUUUCAUUAGAAAUGUAUGCUGAUAUAUUUUUACAUUUACAAUUAUUGUCAGUAGUUCAGAUUCCUCCGUGUACCACUAGAGGCAGCUUGCGUACCACCAGUGGUACACGUACCAUAGUUUGAGAACCAGUGUAUUAGACUGUAUUAGUUUUAGCUUGCUGUACAUAAUCAAUGUCUGAUUGUAGUUUUUCCUUUUUUUAUUAUUUUAAGGAUCACAACUGGUUAUAUUGCAGGUCAAAUAUGUAUUGUCCAUAUUCAUGUGCUCAUUAUCUGAAUUGUUUUUUUACUGCAUCGUUAUCACAGCUCAUUAUUAUCUAUUAUUAACUCUUUAUGUUGCUGUUUAUCUAUUUUGAAAGCUGUGUUUACAUUUCUCAUGUUUGCUUUGCCUUGCAUGGAAAAUUGUAAGUAAGACACGAGGAAAACCCUUUUUCUCUGACUUUUGACCUUUUUAAAAAAACAUUAAAAUGUUUAUAUAUAUAUAUACCAUAAUCAUUAUUUAUCAGACAUCCUCCUGUAAUCCUGCUGUAAUCAUUCAUUCUGGAGUUCCUUCCUAUCUCCAGUCAUUAAGAUGUGGGACAACAUUUAGUCUUCAUUCUGUGGAAAAAUGGAAGUUUAUGAGGUUCAGUUAGUUAGACAAACUAAGUUCUUAUCGCCCCAAUAAACAGUUAUUUUAGUACAAAUUCCACUUUAUGUUUAUAGGACAGUGUUUCCUCGUUGAGCUGCAGAGGAGGGAUGAAGGGAAGAGGGAAACAAGAGGGAGUUUUCUUCUUUUGUAGAUGCUAACUUUAUUUUUCUAACUCAGCUGGUCUCAUUUUAGCUUCAGAUAACAUAGAAUGAGGACCGUGGAUCCUCCGUCACUUCUGUUGUAAGCAGCAGACUAGAAGCAGAGGAACUGAAACAUGAAGUGGCGUAAACAUGCAGUUCAGUGUGUAUGCAGGCGAUGGUUAUGGGUCUCUUGUGCUGUAGGCAAUAUGAACACAGGUGAUCAGCAGCAGUGGUCAGAUGUCCAGACAGGUAACACACCCGCC
rnacentral:lncRNA from 1 species